rnacentral:lncRNA from 1 species
GAGACUUCAUGGUCCAGUGCUCGUGUACAUACAUGCGCCCGUGUGUGUGAGAGAGAAGCAACCUGGGGCCACCCUUAGGAAGCUGGGGGCCAGAGGAGGCAGCUGGGGGACAUCAGGAGGAGAAGGACAGGACUGACUUCAGGGCAUGGAUGAAGUGGAGUGACUUUUAAUGGCCAGCACCAGAAUACCUCUUAAUGAGGUAAUGAGGUAACUAAGUGUGCUUAGAAAUACCUGGGAAGGUCCCUCUGUGUAGGAAGGUGUCUGGAAGGAUGGGGAAGCAGUGAGAAAUGGGGUUGCUCUACACACAGCCGCAGUUGGGCUGGGCCACAGUCUGUGGGGAGCAUAAGGAAGUCCCGAGUAGUUAAAGGCUGAACAGGAAAACUUUGGCCUCCUCUUCUCCAGCUUGAGGGCUGGGUGGGUGGGUAGGGGUACAUCCCUACCCAAGGCUGAAAACACCAGCUGGACAGCUUCCCAAGCCAGAAUCCAGGCCUGAAGCACAGCCCUCAGCCACAGCCCUCUCUCACUGCCCCCCACACACAUGUCCUCCCCAGACCCGGAGAAAGGCAAACACUGUGGCCAUUCAGAGCCCAGCCCAAGGGAGGGCUGCCCCCUCCCAGGGCCCCUUCCUCCUUGGCCCUUUGUCUAUCCCGGCCCGUCUGGGCAUCAGGGCACCGCCCUUCCUGUGGCCCCAGCUCCCCUCCCUGCUCCAGCUGUCGAGUAGCUUCUUCCCCUCCCCCAGCCCCUCUACCUCAGCCCUAAGUGACUCACCCGAGGUUCCAGGCCCAGAUGCCCAGGCAGUGACUCAGCGGCACACCCUCCUCCCCCAGGGCCAGGGCAGCAGCAGUCCCAGAGCAGUAGGUGGAAGCCCCAGCCCAGCCUGGCAGGGAAAGCACUGGCACAGAGACCCCAAACAGGCCCUGCCAGGAGGAGCUUUGGAUAAUGACAUGGCAGGAGGAUCAGACUGAGAACAGGCUGGUCCCUUCCUAGCGGUCACCGUGUGACUUGGGGGCCAGCCUGAGCAGUGUACAUGAAGUCAGGCCUUGGGGCCCCCAGUGUCCUCUUCUACACCUUGGCACAGCCACCGAGUGUCCCUUGCUCCCCUCAGUACUUGAACCCCUCAUGCUACUUGUCUUCCCAUCGAGGCCUACUUCAAGUAGAACUCGGAAUAAAAACCCUUCACACUGAGGGUGAGGGACAAGGGAGCGCAAUGCAUCGAUUUUCACAGCCAUUCUUUCCUUUUAACUAAGGGCCUCCACAGGGCCUUCCCUGCUCAGAAACUGCAGUGCAUCCCCAUGGCUGUCCCUUAAAGCCAGGCGGUAUGUUCUCACUCAUAAGUGGGAGUUGAACAAUGAGAACAUAUGGACACAGGGAAGGGAACACCACAUACCAGGGCCUGUGGGC